UUUGACACUUGUAAUAAUUUUAUUGAACCAGUGCAUAACUAUGUAAUUAACAGCAGAUAUUCAAAAUGUUAAAUACAGUAACAGGGUUCUGGGUCAAUUCAGGAAGUACACUGAAAUUACAAUUACCAUCAAUACUUUUCAAUGGUUUACUUUCUGAAUUGAAAUGGAAUUGACCCCAACCCUGUAGAAUAAUGUACUGAAUGGAUUUAAUCAGAUGUACUAUAUAGUUGAUGUCCUAAUAUUUAAUAAAACAGAUAAUCUAAUGUUCUCCUGGGUUGACCAUAUUAAUGCAACAGAUUAUCAGUAGAAAAUAUACAAUAGUUCUGCUACCAGUCUCUGUCCCAACUGGUACCCUAUUCCCUAUGUAGUGCACUGCCCAUAGGACUCUGGUCAAAUGUAAUGCACCAAGUAGGGAAUAGGGUGCCAUUUAGGGUUCCACACGGUACACAUAAUACUGGCUAUAUAAGGGCGUGGCCAAACUGAUCCGUGGAGAACGGAAACCAAAUCAGAACGGAUUCAUUUUGGUCCGGUGCAGAGUGUGUCUAAUUGGCCAACGUCUCCAUCGACCAAUCAAAAAAACUCAUCUGAAACUUUCUGUCCAUGAAAAUGGAUGGGACGUUGAUGGUGGACGUUGGCGGGAACGACUCCCAUUGAGAAAGCAUUGGAUAUCAUGGAUACGUAAUAUAACAGUAUUUCUAUAAAGGCUGUAGCUGGAUAUACUGUAUAGUGGGCCCUCUAGGAUAACUCACAGGCAUCCUAGUUAAACCAAUAUUCUCAUAUACCAGACUUACUCUAGGUCAAAUAUGUCAAAUGCAUGUUUAGUUUGCCUGGUAUCUCUCCUUCAUCAGAUGCAGCAGCUAUCAUAUUAAAAUAUCAUUCAGUCUGUUUACGAUCAGGGAACUAUCAUCAACAUCAUUCAGUCUGUUUACGAUCAGGGAACUAUCAUCAAUAUCAUUCAGUAUGUUUACGAUCAGGGAACUAUCAUCAAUAUCAUUCAGUCUGUUUACGAUCUCUGUUUACGAUCAGGGAACUAUCAUCAAUAUCAUUCAGUAUGUUUACGAUCUCUGUUUACGAUCAGGGAACUAUCAUCAAUAUCAUUCAGUAUGUUUACGAUCAGGGAACUAUCAUCAGUAUCAUUCAGUAUGUUUACGAUCAGGGAACUAUCAUCAAUAUCAUUCAGUCUGUUUAUGAUCAGGGAACUAUCAUCAAUAUCAUUCAGUCUGUUUACGAUCUCUGUUUACGAUCAGGGAACUAUCAUCAAUAUCAUUCAGUCUGUUUACGAUCAGGGAACUAUCAUCAAUAUCAUUCAGUAUGUUUACGAUCAGGGAACUAUCAUAAAUAUCAUUCAGUAUGUUUACGAUCAGGGAACUAUCAUCAAUAUCAUUCAGUAUGUUUACGAUCAGGGAACUAUCAUAAAUAUCAUUCAGUAUGUUUACGAUCAGGGAACUAUC
rnacentral:lncRNA from 1 species